rnacentral:rRNA from 1 species
UACGUGGGGUGCAAGCGUUGUUCGGAAUUACUGGGCGUAAAGCGUGUGUAGGUGGCCUGUUAAGUCUGGUGUGAAAGCCCUGAGCUCAACUCAGGAAUUGCAUCGGAAACUAACGGGCUGGAGUCCGGGAGAGGGUAGUGGAAUUCCUGGUGUAGAGGUGAAAUUCGUAGAUAUCAGGAGGAACACCGGUGGCGAAGGCGGCUACCUGGACCGGUACUGACACUGAGACACGAAAGCGUGGGGGAGCAAACAGGG